rnacentral:rRNA from 1 species
GAUGAACGCUGGCGGCGUGCCUAAUACAUGCAAGUCGAACGCUGGAGAUCUAGCUUGCUAGAUCGAAGGAGUGGCGAACGGGUGAGUAAUACAUAAGCAACCUACCCACGAAGACUGGGAUAAUCUCUGGAAACGGGGACUAAUACCGGAUAGGUAAUCGGAAGGCAUCUUCUGGUUAUUAAAGGUUAAAAACACUGGUGGAUGGGCUUAUGGCGCAUUAGUUAGUUGGUGAGGUAACGGCCCACCAAGACGAUGAUGCGUAGCCGGCCUGAGAGGGUGAACGGCCACAUUGGGACUGAGGCACGGCCCAGACUCCUACGGGAGGCAGCAGUAGGGAAUUUUCGGCAAUGGGGGCAACCCUGACCGAGCAACGCCGCGUGAGUGAAGACGGCCUUCGGGUUGUAAAGCUCUGUUGUAAGGGAAGAACGGUAGAUAGAGAAUAUCUAAGUGACGGUACCUUACCAGAAAGCCACGGCUAACUACGUG